rnacentral:lncRNA from 1 species
CUUUUCGAGGUAGGAGUCGACUCCUGUGAGGUAUGGUGCUGGGUGCAGAUGCAGUGUGGCUCUGGAUAGCACCUUAUGGACAGUUGUGUCCCCAAGGAAGGAUGAGAAUAGCUACUGAAGUCCUAAAGAGCAAGCCUAACUCAAGCCAUUGGCACACAGGCAUUAGACAGAAAGCUGGAAGUUGAAAUGGUGGAGUCCAACUUGCCUGGACCAGCUUAAUGGUUCUGCUCCUGGUAACGUUUUUAUCCAUGGAUGACUUGCUUGGGUAUGGAGAGUCGGCUUGACUACACUGUGUGGAGCAAGUUUUAAAGAAGCAAAGGUAUAGCAGUUCCAAGUAUUUUUUUUUUUUUUUUAGACAAGAGUCUAGCUCUUGCCCAGAAUGGAGUGCAGCGGCACUAUCAGUUCACUGCAACCUCUGCCUCCCAGGUUCAAGGAAUUCUCCUGCCUCAGCCUCUUGAGUAGCUGGGAUUACAGGCAUGUGACACCAUGCCUGGCUAAUUUUGUACAGCUAUGUUGUCCAGGCUGGUCUCGAACUCUUGACCUCAAGUGAUACUGCCCGCACUGACCUCCCAAAGUGCUGGGAUUACAGGCGUGAGCCACCAUGCCCCGCCUCAAGUCUGGUUUUUAAGUGUUGUAAAGCCGAUACAAUGAUGAUAACAUAGUUCAGCAGACUAACGCUGAUGAGCAAUAUUAAGUCUUUCGCUCCUAUCUGAUGUAUCUGGCGGUAACAUUCUAGUUUAUGCCCCGAAAAGGGGAAUAUAGCCAUUCUAUAAUGUUUGGAGAUUUUGGAUUACUCCUAAUUGUAUGCAAGUUGUCUUACUGUGUAUUGUCCCUUAAUUUCAGGACUCAGAAUUCAUGAUUGAAGAAAUGCAGGUUAGUUUAAACUUUGAAGGAAAUUUUUAAGGUGGCAAAAGGUUUUGGUGGCAUAUACACCUUAAUCUGUAGAUGGGAGUGAUUAGCUGUUUAAAAGUUAAAAUGUGACUGAGAAGGAAAUUGAGUAGGGCAAAUUUUAAAUGGGUAUUAUUUUUCAUCUUCAAACAGGCAGACCUGUUAUCCUAAACUAGGUGAGUCAGCUUUUGGUACAUGUGAUGAUUUUCAGUGUAACCAAUGAUGUAAUGAUUCUGCCAAAUGAAAUAUAAUGAUAUCACUGUAAAACCGUUCCAUUUUGAUUCUGAGGUUACUCUACUAACAAGCAUCACACAUUUGUAUUUUGCCCUGAUUAAUAUGUUGGCUUCGCUUUCAGGGUUUUUAAUGACCACAACAAGCAAGCAUGCAGCUUACUGCUUGAAAGGGUCUUGCCUCACCCAAGCUAGAGUGCAGUGGCCUUUGAAGCUUACUACAGCCUCAAACUUCUGGGCUCAAGUGAUCCUCAGCCUCCCAGUGGUCUUUGUAGACUGCCUGAUGGAGUCUCAUGGCACAAGAAGAUUAAAACAGUGUCUCCAAUUUUAAUAAAUUUUUGCAAUCCA